CAGUAGCCGCGGUAAUACGAAGGGUGCAAGCGUUAAUCGGAAUUACUGGGCGUAAAGCGUGCGUAGGCGGUUUGUUAAGUCUGUUGUGAAAUCCCCGGGCUCAACCUGGGAAUGGCAAUGGAUACUGGCAAGCUAGAGUGUGUCAGAGGAUGGUGGAAUUCCCGGUGUAGCGGUGAAAUGCGUAGAGAUCGGGAGGAACAUCAGUGGCGAAGGCGGCCAUCUGGGACAACACUGACGCUGAGGCACGAAAGCGUGGGGAGCAAACAGGAUUAGAUACCCCUGUAGUCCCUGUCUCUUAUAA
rnacentral:rRNA from 1 species